rnacentral:rRNA from 1 species
CAGCAGCCGCGGUAACACGGAGGGUGCAAGCGUUAAUCGGAAUUACUGGGCGUAAAGCGCACGCAGGCGGUCUGACAAGUCAGAUGUGAAAUCCCCGGGCUUAACCUGGGAACUGCAUUUGAAACUGUCAGGCUGGAGUCUUGUAGAGGGGGGUGGAAUUCCAGGUGUAGCGGUGAAAUGCGUAGAGAUCUGGAGGAAUACCGGUGGCGAAGGCGACUAUCUGGGCCAACACUGACACUGAGGCACGAAAGCGUGGGGAGCAAACAGGAUUAGAUACCCCGGUAGUCCCUGUCUCUUAUAC